AAGAUGCACUUUAGAUUUCCCAGAGCUGUUAUUGAAUGUGAGUGAGAUGCAAAUUAAACAUUAAAAACAUAUUUAUGGUGGGGUUAGCAGCAGCUACAUAAUCUUACAUACAGAGCAGGCCACAAGAAUCAACUAGCCGUCUGGGAGACCUCCGGGAGGAUUUGUUGUAAAAGCAAUUGGCACAUCAUUAGCCUCGAAUGCAAAUCCUGGUGGAUGUGGAGGAAGCCCAUGACCAGGCAGAUUCUUCCCGUGCUGGAUCCCAGGGCAGGCACCUCCAGGUGGGAGACGUGGAGAUGAUGCUGAGGUGGAGCUGGGAUGCGGGGCUCAUCCUUCAGCUGCCUUCGUGGUAUGUGCAGAGGCAGGUGAAACCCUCUUGGAAGUGGUGGUGGUGUUACUGCUGAUGUUCCACCUUCUCCAAGCUGCAAUGUGCUGUUUGAGAGCGCUGGGGAGGGCUGGAGGAGGAGACAGCGGGCGUAAGCUGGUGCAUGAGGGAAUCUUCGUCAAGCUCAGCAUUGAGCUUGAGUGGGUGGAAUUUGGAAACUCAGGCCUAAAUCCUGUGACUAGAGCCCACUGCUGAGCUACAGAGCCAGAAUUUGAUUCUGCUGCUUACAAGGAGUGAGAUGGAGAUGAAACCAGGACGUGGAGCAGCCCCUCAUCCAGCAGUGCCGUGCCCCAGGCGCGAGCUGACGCCCCGUGGAUUUCCAGCCGGGACUUGCUCCAGAGCUUGACGAUCCCAUGAGAAAAUACGGACGGAAGAAAAGGCCUGAAUGGACAUCUGGGACCAAAAUACCCCAAAUAAAUAUUUACUGACAUCUAA